rnacentral:rRNA from 1 species
GCUUACAGCCACACCGCCUGGUUCACGCCCGAUCUCGUUUGAUCUCGGAAGCUAAGAUAGGUUGGGCCUGGUUAGUACUUGGAUGGGAGACAGCCUAGGAAUACCAGGUGCUGUAAAGC